AUGAUGCUUAAUGAUGGCUGUCAUGGUGUGUUUGGACAGUGAAUUGUUCCCUAUUAUAGGUGGCUCCUGUCAAAGGUAGAUAUUUUCCCCAUUUUAAAGGCAGAAUCUUUCACAGGUACAACAGUUUAUGCAUACAUUUUUUGUAAGAUAUUGUAGCAUGGAUCAUGAUACAGACAAGCGGGGUUUUGAUAUUUCAAAUGACUCUGGGAAAUGUUUUAAUCAUGUCAUGUUGAGUCAGAUUUUCUGCUGAACACCGUUAACACCGAUAGUAGCCUGUUGAUGUCGAAAUGUUUCUCGACCUUUUUAAUCUGAGGUGGGGACGGGAUUGAUGACUGUUAUAUAUUGAGUUAUGUGUCAGAGUGUGGGGUGUCAAUUGUCUUGUUUACUUUCAUUUUCAUUUGAGGAACUAUAAGACCUGAUUGGUCAGAUACUCAUUUUGUUGUUUCAUCUUAGUCAUUUGUAACAUAAGUGUAUGGGCCUUUUCUUUUCAUUAGGGAUUUAAUUGUACUUAUAAUGUUUUAUCAAACAUGUAAUGUUUUUCUUUAAAUGUUUGAUAGUGGGCAGCGUGGAAUUAACAAUUACAAUGUGAAUAUACAUUUCAUUGGAAGUGGAUGUGCCUAGAUAAUGAGAACAACAGACACCUAUCUGUUCAUCUCUCUGUAGGUUGCGCUCUGAUAAUCCCCGGAAUGUUUACAAUGACCAUCUGGCAUGGGGGGUUAACUUCUAGAAACAUGAUCUGUGCUAGGUAGAAACACCCUUAAUGUAUAGGCUAGCUGGCAACUAACAUAACAGUGAGAAGAUAAUGGAACGUUCACUGAAUGACAUCUAUGCUGCAAUUUUCCAAUAAACUUGAGCAAACUUCUCCCUCGAUUUGAUACAGGUUCUACAUUAUUUCAACCACUAUAUGAAACCGUCAAUUUCUAACAUUUCCCACCAGGCCCACAAUGAGGACAUCAAAGGACCACUUUCCUGGAUAGCAGAGUUGUGGGAAGGGGCCUUGGCCCAGUAUGGCAAAACCUGCAGGAUGACUACGAUGAUGGAUGACCCGGUGGAUGGACCUCGUGGAGGAAGAUGAGGAUAUCCACACUUAGUAUAAAUUCAUAUAUCUCAGCCUUUGACCAGGCUGUCUGGGCAACCGACAUUCUAUGAUUUUCUGUCUCGUGGAGCUAUUUGUGCAACCUUGCAUUUUUUAGACUACAUCAUAGUGGCUACUAUGCCUUGUAUGUACAUUCUGCAAAUGUUAAUUCCGUCAUCUGUACUGUUGGAGGAGG
ensembl:lncRNA